AACGAACGCUGGCGGCGUGGCUAAGACAUGCAAGUCGAACGGUCCGGCACUUAUUUGUUUACAAAUGAUUGCCGGAUAGUGGCGAAAGGGUGAGUAAUAGAUAGGUAACGUACCCUGUGCUUCGGAAUAGCGUCUCCCGACUUGUCGGGAUUCCGAAAGGGUCGGUAAUACCGAAAAUAUCGCUUGUCGAUGGUCAAGCGAGCAAAGAUUUAUCGGCACGGGAGCGGCCUAUCUCCUAUCAGCUUGUUGGUGAGGUAACGGCUCACCAAGGCAGCGACGGGUAGCGGGACUGAGAGGUUGGCCCGCCACAUCGGGACUGAGACACUGCCCGGACCUCCACGGAGGGCUGCAGUAACGAAUCUUGCGCAAUGGGCGAAAGCCUGACGCAGCGACGCCGCGUGCGGGAGGAAGUCCCUCGGGAUGUAAACCGCUGUCAGGGGUAAGAAAGUCCGCUUCGGCGGAUUGAUCUAACCCAAAGGAAGUCACGGCUAACUUCGUGCCAGCAGCCGCGGUAAGACGAAGGUGGCGAGCGUUGUUCGGUGUUACUGGGCUUAAAGCGUGUGUAGGCGGGUUGGUUAGCGUCCUGUGAAAUCCCUCGGCUUAACCGAGGAAUGGCUGGGCGAACUGCCAGCCUUGAGGCAGGCAGGGGCGCAUGGAACUCUUGGUGGAGCGGUGGAAUGCGUAGAUAUCAAGAGGAACGCCGAUGGAGAAAUCAGUGCGCUGGGCCUGUCCUGACGCUGAUACACGAAAGCGUGGGGAGCGAACGGGAUUAGAUACCCCGGUAGUCCACGCUGUAAACGAUGUCUACUAGGUCGUGGAGGUUCUGACACCUGCACGGCCGAAGCAAAAGUGUUAAGUAGACCGCCUGGGGAGACGGUCGCAAGGCU
rnacentral:rRNA from 1 species